CGCUCUGCAACUCGGGCGCAUGAAGGUGGAAUCGCUAGUAAUCGCAGAACAGCAGGCUGCGGUGAAUACGUUCCCGGGCCUUGUACACACCGCCCGUCACACCAUGGGAGUUGGUUUUACCUUAAGACGGUGCGCUAACCCGCAAGGGAGGCAGCCGGCCACGGUAAGGUCAGCGACUGGGGUGAAGUCGUAACAAGGUAACCGUA
rnacentral:rRNA from 1 species